UCAGACGGCCGGAUGGCCGCCUUCCGGGAUUCCCCGGGGGGAGGAAAGUCCGGGCUCCACGGGAACACGGUGCCGGGUAACGCCCGGCGGGGGCGACCCUAGGGAAAGUGCCACAGAAAGCAAACCGCCCGCCGAAGCCUUGGCGAAGGCGGGUAAGGGUGAAAGGGUGCGGUAAGAGCGCACCGCGUCGCCGGCGACGGCGACGGCACGGCAAACCCCACCGGGAGCAAGACCGAGUAGGGGCGACACGCCGGAUUUCGGUCCGGCAAGGCGGGUUUCCGCGCCGCCGCCCGGGUAGGUCGCACGAGGCGUCCGGCAACGGGCGUCCCAGAUGAAUGGCCAUCCCCCGCCUCGGCGGGGACAGAACCCGGCUUACAGGCCGUCUGACGCC
rnacentral:RNase_P_RNA from 2 species